rnacentral:rRNA from 1 species
GUGCCAGCCGCCGCGGUAAGACAGAGGGUGCAAACGUUGUUCGGAAUUACUGGGCGUAAAGCGCGUGUAGGCGGCCCUGCAAGUCGGAUGUGAAAUCCCACGGCUCAACCGUGGAAGUGCAUUCGAAACUGCAGGGCUAGAGUCCUGGAGAGGAAGGUGGAAUGCUUGGUGUAGAGGUGAAAUUCGUAGAUAUCAAGCGGAACACCGGUGGCGAAGGCGGCCUUCUGGACAGUGACUGACGCUGAGACGCGAAAGCGUGGGGAGCAAACAGGAUUAGAUACCCUUGUAGUCC